GUAUAAAUUACAUCUGUAGGACCACCUGAAAACUUGUGAGUACGUUGAGAUUCCUUGUCCCAAAGGAUGCAAUCAAAGCAUUGAGAGGAGAGCUGUUGAUCAACAUUUGAGAAAAGAUUGCCCAAAAAGAACUGUUACUUGUCAGUAUUGUAAAACAGAGAUUCUACAAAAAAAUAUGAAGUGCCCGGCCCAAAGAAAACACAACAUGCGACUGUAGACAAUGUCCUCAAUAUCAAAGAAAGCGAUAGCAAAAGUUUUAAUGUUUGAUGGCAGCGAGAUCUAGUUGUCCCGCGUUGUCGUCCUGCAACUUCUUUGUGUUUAGGUAUUUCUGUAAAUAAAAAAGACUGUUCCGAUCGCCAUUAAAACCUUAGGAAACAUCAAUAAGAAAUUCUAAAGAAUGCGCUAGAGAAAUAGAAGAAAAAUUGUAAUGUUCUUAAAGCCAGAAAUCUUUCAAAUGAACAAGGUGAAAACCUUUGGAGCCAUCAAAA